AAUCACUCCCCUGUAAUAAUAUUGCUCUGCCAGCCCAAUACACGAGAGGGGGACUAUAUAAGAAUCAAUGAAGCUGUCACUAUCACGAAUUACCCCACGAUCUGGCAUAUUCGGUACAGUCGCAGAUAAAUAUGGUAUAAGCACCACGCCUACACAAUAUCUAUCAUUUACCCAUGGAUCAAAUGGAUAAACGCUAUACGAUCCUAAGCAUGAAUAUAGAUCCAAUCUAACUAAGCCAAGUAUAUAACUAUGAUAAACUAAGAACAAUAUAAUCUUGAAUAUAAACAAGAGCAAAGUCAUAAGCAAUAUAUUGAAGUAGAACAAAGUCAUAUUCAUAAUAUUGAAGAACAAAGAUAAUUAGAAGAAGAAUUAGAAGCACAAUUAGAGAAUUACCAAGAAUCCUCUUGACAGAUCCGGAAACCAAUCGAAGAUUGACUUGUAGCUAUGCUAAUAUAGAUGUCUAAUUGAUGUGGUGGCUCUAAUCUUGAUCAGAGGCUUCUUCUCCCUUGAAGAACAAUGAAUUAGGGUUGAGAGGCUCUCUCCUCCAGGGGCUAGGGGGUCUGGUUUUAUAGUCCCUUCAAGUGAAUAUGGGCCGUUGGAUCAAACCGACAUUGAUUGAACGGUUAUCCUUGAUCCUUUAGGUCGGUGGAGAUCUCCCGAGAAAGAGAGUCCUGAUUGGACUCAGAGAAGGGGCGGGCGCCCAGGGCAGGAGGGCGGGCGCCCUGCCUCUAGCCCCGUUCGGCCUCCGCUUUCUUCACGUGGCUUCUGGAGUCUUCUAGAUGCAAGAUAAUUGCGUGGCAUGUUAAUAUCUCUACAUAAUCCCGACGUGUGGGCCUUUCUUCCUUAUUUCCUGAUAACCUCCUGCAGAAAUAGACAAACACCAAAACUCAUGGGAUUCUGUCAGAUAAAACCCUAAGUCUAGAUGUUGAUUUCAUUUGGAUCAUUUUCUUUGUUUAUUUGAUAAAUAAAUUUAAUACUUAAGGACCGUCAACAAACUCCCCCAAGCUUAGCUCUUGCUCGUCCCUGAGCAAGGAUAGACUCAGCAAUGGAUCAGAAGUUGUUGCAAUAUCUUAAAAAUUGACGGUACACAUGCUUUUUAAAUAAGAUCUCAUCUCUGAGUUAGAGUAAACUAUCAAGACUUAAAACUUACUUACUUUACCUUUCACCAUGGGACUUGUAACCAUCACUUCGGCCUUGAGUAGUUAAAAGAUAGAACAGUCUAGUCAAGUGCCAUGUCUCUUAUUCUUGAUCAGCUAUAGCUCUGGUGUUUUCUUUACAGAUUUUCAAAUAAAACUCAGAGAUUCCUUGUAUGACUUCUCUCAUAUCUCUCUUUUGUGGUAUUUCUGGAUCCUUUCCAAGGCAGUGAUGGUAUAUGCCUUCUCUCAAAAUAUGUAGUAUUUGUGGUAUAAAGCAUAGUGACAUUGCCUUCUCUCUCACAGGUGGGAGAUAAAAUAUACAUAGGUGGGAGAUAAAAUAUACAUACUUACAAUACAUUUAUUGCAUAGUCAAACCAUGGAUCCAAAGAAACAAAUCAAUAAGUCAAAUCAAGAUGUGCAUGUGUGGCGAAUGAAUGGUGUAUGGUGAUGAUGGUGAUAACAAUGGUGGAAGUCUAAUUCUACAUUUGCUCUUUUGAGGGGAUACAUACCUUUCUUGCUUUUUGAAAUUUUAUGAGGAGGAUGAGAUACUCUUCUUUUUCUUUUCUCUCAGGUGGGUAUCUUGUACCCCUAAUUCUACUGUCGGACACUUGUUCAUUUUUACCUCUCGUCUCACUUUUUCUUUUCUUUCGAGGUUCCGGGCACUUGCCCCUUUUUAUUUCCUCGUAUCUUUUUUUCUCUUUUUUUUUUCCUUUUUUUCUUUUUUUUAAUUAGAGCACUCGUCUCUUGAGAUAAUAUAACAAGUGGUAGUAACAAGAUAACUUGAGCAUUUAUUUCACAAGGGAAAACAGAAAUAUUUUUGGUUAUUCUCUCCCGGAUUAGGAGUAGAAUAUUUUUUGGUGAUUCUGGAGAUGGAAAUGGAUGGAUAUAUGUGGAUGGUACUUCCGGAGUAGAAGUAGCAUAUAUGAGUGAACGUGCAAGUGAAUCUUGACUUAACCACAUGACAAGCUCCUAAGGGUCUACACAGCUUGACCACACUCAAUGCUCAUAAGCAGUAAAUAGUAAAUGUGUGGCUCAAAGUCUAGCAAGCAUGUAUAUAUGGCUGUGGUAGGAAUUUAAACUCUCAUCAUACAGGAACUCAUCAUGCAACAUUUUAAAGAUUUUUCGAAGAUAAAAUUCUCCAGAAUUCUAGUAUCUCUAGGAAUAGAUAAACAGCAGCUCAACCUUUCCAUAUCGUAUCCGUUAACAACUUAGACUUCAGAUCAAGUUUUCAUCCCACAAGUUUAGGUCUAGAGUACACUUUAAAUUAUAACAGUUAUGUCUAAACUUGAGAGAGAACUUAAAAUGUGCAAAUUAGGCAGAGCAACUAUUCAUCAUAUCCAUGCUAGAGUAGUAUUUAGAUACAGAUUAGCAUAGCCACUUUAUUUAUUUAGUAAACACAGUAAGCAAAAGAUAUAUAUAAGCACAAGAUCUUUAUUUGGUUUUCUAUAGUUAUGUAUAACUAUAUUUUAAUAUAAUAUAAGUAUAAAGAUAGAUAGAAAUACUUAGCGGGAUAAAUGGGGGUGCUCUCCCCCAAGCUGAAUUUUGACGUAAUUUCUCUUGAUGUAGCUAGCAGGUGGCAGAGGUGUAUUUGAAAGUCAGCAGCAUUCUGACAGCGAUUAGAAUGUCCUCCAUCUGCUAGUCUUCUUGAUUCUUAAAUUCUAUGGAGCUCAAAUAGACAACAAAGCUUGUGGAACUGAUUAAGUGUUAGCAUAAAUAUCUAGCUUUUAUCAUGUUGAGACUCCUCAAUAAUUAUUACUCUCUAUUUUUUUAUAUUUUUGUUUUAUAAAGCAAAAAAAUAUUUACUUUAUUUUUAUGCCACCAUAGUGAAUGUACUUAUGGGUUUCAUGCCACUCGUAUACUCACAUAGGGCUUACUGUUUUUCACAUUUUUAUUUUCUUUUUAGGAUUGUAUGAACAUGAUUAACUAAGCAAACUAUUUUAAAUAUUUGGAAGAAAAAAGGAUAACUACCAAGUUUACCUCUUGGCAAGGAGUUCGGUGUUUUUAAGUCCUCCGAACAGGAUUCUCCAUUUUCUCAAUUGUCCUAGAAUUUGUUGGUUGGCGGAGUCGGUACUUCCGGCGGCGCCUCCUCUUCAUGUAUAGUUAUCUUCUCUUUCCAUACCUGACUCGGAGCUUCGGUCUCCUCUGGAUAAUUCUGUUUAAACUCUACGUCUUCUUACCUUAUCACUUCUCCUUCGUAGUCUGCCCAUCCGUCCUUGAUGAUCUGCAUCCUCUGGUUGCGGUUGCGUCGCUUUCUUACCUGCUUAGAUUCUUCAAAGAUGUAGUUAGGAUUAGUAAAAUAACGGCGUACCUUCUCUGAGGGGAAGUGAAUAUGGACUUCUCCAGUUCCAAUGUAGAUAAUUGCUUUAACGGUGCUGAGGAACGGUCUUCCAAGGAUGAUGGGUGGAUCGUACUCAUCUUCUCCCAUGUCAAUAACCUGAAAGUCUGUGUAGACAAAAUGAUCAUCUAUUUUGACUGGGACAUCAGUUACUAUUCCUUUAACUUCUCGAAACGUCUGAUCUGCCAUCUGGAGGUGAAUGUAUGUUGGUUUCAGAGGCACGGUUCCGAACAAGAGCCGAUAGGUGACUGCGGCCAUUAUGUUGACGCCCGAUCCGGUGUCACAAGUCGUCUUGUAGAAGUUGUAUCCAUUUAUGGAGCAGUAAAUGCUUGGCAUUCCUGGGUCGCCCUUCUUGGUCAAAAACGGUGACUUAAGUUGGUGAUCUUGUCCUCCAUGAACUGCAGUGACCAUCUUAGCUGACUCGGUCCACACUUGCUUGUUCCUGUUCCUCCUGUUGGUCCUUUUCCUUGAUUAACGUCUGGAUUGCUCUGGGAUUUGUGUAGUCUUGUUCCUGAAGAAAAAUGUCUCCUUCCUCCCUUUGAUGUAGAAACUGAUCUUGGCAGCUCUAGCGUAGAUGAUAGCUCCCGAGGUGUUUAAGAAUGGCCUCCCUAAGAUGAUGGGUGCCCUCUCAUCAUUACUGUUGAUAUUUGGUAACGCAAUAAGGAAAUGAUCCGCAAGCGCACGGAUAUCGAUGAGCAUUUCACCCGGGAGAUUUUCCAGAGUAUCGUAUUUAUAUUUUUACCACUGGGAUAAAGGGUGCAUCUGACUAACCAAAUCUAUUGCUACUACCCCUUUAGGCUACAAAGAAUGUCUCUCGAUGUGAGUGAUGUAUAGAGAAGACUGCAACCUUAGUCUCGUUCUAACCUUGGUAAGGAUGAUCUACUGUUCUAUUGGGGAGGCUCACGGAAUCUAGACAACACAAAGGAUGUUCGACCCGCACCUAUAACCCUACCUGUCCUACUAACGAGAUGUGAUCUACAAAGGUAACUCGGAAAUGUCACGUUCCUCGCUACUACCACGGUCCAGCUAGUCAGGGGAUAUCUAUGAGUACCCUAGCCUAAACACCACGUUUACGCUAACAAGUGAUUACUCAAAUACUCAACCGGAAGAGGAUUAAAGUAAACUCAUAAACCAAAGAACAAUAAAACAAGAACUUACUAGUAUUAGAAGUCGAAUUACUGAAGAAUCUUAGAAGCAAGCCUCGGGUUAGGAGACUUGAUCCCACAGGUACAACUCGGAGUAGACACCGACAGGCCGGCCUUCCUCCGAUCCACACCUCCACUCUAUCUCUCUCAAUCUAGUAGAAACUAGAAGAUCUAUUUCUACUUUACAUUGGAUGCUAAGCCUAAAAAGAAAUAUUAUUUAGAGAAGAGGUUUUCCUUCGAGGGCACCCCUCAAUCUCUAUGAUAAUUUCUUGUCUUCUCCAGGGGCCAGAGGGGGUCUCCUUUAUAUAGUCCUCCCCUUCUAUGCGUUUUUGGGUCGAUAGGCGAGGUGGUACUAUGUUAUUCUGGAUCCAAUAGGUCGGUGGAACGUCGUGUGCGAAGAGAGUCCGGAACGGAGUCCAGAGGGGGGCGGGCGCCCAGGUCCUCAGGGCGGGCGCCCUGGGCCUGGCCCCUUUCGGGCUCCGCUUCCUUCCCGUGGCUUCUGGAGUCUUCUAGAUGGUAGAAAAUUGCGCGGUGGGUUGAUAUCUCUAUGUAAUCCCGACAUGUGGGCCUUUCUUCCUUAUUUCCGGAUAACCCCCUGCAGAAAUAGACAAACACCAAAACUCGUGGAAUUCUGUCAGAUAAAACCCUAAGUCUAGAUGUUGAUUUCAUUUGGAUCCUUUUCUUUGUUUAUUUGAUAAUUAAAUUUGAUACUUAAGGACCGUCAACAAACUCCCCCAAGCUUACCUCUUGCUCGUCCCUGAGCAAGGAUGAACUCAAGAGUUUCUGUUGUGGUUUCAUUUCUUAGAAGUACACACGCAUUUAAGCAAGAUCUCAUCUCUGAGUUAGAAUAAACUGUUAACACUUAAAACUUACUUACUUUACCUACACCAUAGGACUUGUAACCGUCACUUCUGUCUUGAGUGGUUAAAAGAUAGAACAGUCUAGCCAAGUGUCAUAUCUCUUAUUCUUGAUCAGCUAUAGCUCUGGGGUUUUUGCAGAUUUUCAAAUAAAACUCAGAAAUUCCUUGUAUGAUUCUCUCAGGUCUCUCUUUUGUGGUAUUUUUGGAUCCUUACCAAGGCAGUGAUGGUAUAUGCCUUCUCUCAAGAUAUGUAGUAUUUGUGGUAUGAAGCAUAGUGACAUUGUCUUCUCUCUCACCCUACUCUAAUAAGGCUUUAAUAUCUGGAGCUCAUAGGUGGGAGAUAAAGUAUACAUACUUACAAGACAUUUAUUGCAUAGUCAAACCAUGGAUCCAGAGAAACAAGUCAAUAAGUCAAAUCAAGAUGUGCAUGUGUGGCGAAUGUAUGGUGUAUGGUGAUGAUGGUGAUAACAAUGGUGAAAGUCUAAUUCUACUUUUGCUCUUUUAAGGGGAUACAUACCUUUCUUGCACUAAGAAGUUUUUUGGGGAGAAUGAGAUGCUCUAUAUUUUCUUUUUCUUACCUCUCAGGUGGGUAUCUUGUACCCCUAAUUCUACUAUCGGACACUUGUCCAUUUUUACCUCUCGUCUCACUUUUUCUUUUCUUCGAGGUUCCGGGCACUUGCCCCUUUUUAUUUCCUCGUAUAUUAUUUAUUUAUUUUUUUCUUCUUUUUUUUCUCUUUUUUUUUCUUUCUAGAGCACUCAUCUCCUGAAAUAAUGUACCAAGUGGUAGUAACAAAAAUAACUGGAGCAUUUAUUUCACAGGGAAUAACAGGGAUAGGAAAAUGUUUUUGGCUAUUCUCUCCCGGAUUAGGAGUAGAAUAAUUUUGGGUAAAACUGGAGAUAGAAAUGAGUGGAUAUAUGUGGAUGGUACUUCCGGAGUAGAAGUAGCAUGUAUGAGUAAUCGUGCAAGUGAAUCUUGAUUUUAACCACAUGACAAGCUCCUAAGGGUCUACACAGCUUGACCACACUCAAUGCUCAUAAGCAGUAAAUAGUAAAUGUGUGGCUCAAGGUCUAGCAUGCAUGUAUAUAUGGCUGUGGUAGGAAUUUAAACUCUCAUCAUACAUGAACUCAUCAUGCAACAUUUUAAAGAUUUUCAAAGAUAAAAUUCUCCAGAAUUCUAGCAUCUCUAGGAACAGAUAAAAAGCAGCUCAACCUUCCCAUAUCGUAUCCGUUAACAACUUAGACUUCAGCUCAAGUUUUCAUCCCACAAGUUUAGGUCUAGAGCAAGCCUUAAAUUAUAACAGUUAUAUCUAAACUUGAGAGAGAACUUCAAAUUUGCAAAUUAGGGAGAGCAACUAUUCAUCAUAUCCAUGCUUAAGUUUUAUUAGAUACAGAUUAGCAUAGCCACUUUAUUUAUUUAUUAAACAUACUAAGCAAAAUAUAUAUAAGCAUAAAAUCUUUAUUUGGUUUUUCAUAGUUAUGUGUAUUUAUUUUCUAAUAUAGUAUAAGUAUAAAGAUAGAUAGAAAUACUUAUCGAGAUAAAUGGGGGUGCUCUCCCCCAAGCUGAAUUUUGACGUAAUUUCUCUUGAUGUAGCUAGCAGGUGGCAGAGGUGUGUGUUGGGUAUUUUAAACGCAAACAGAAAAAUCCGCAAGCGCACGGAUACCGAUGUAGCUUUCACCCGGGAGUAUUCCAGAGUAUCGAUUUUCCACAGAGAACGUGAGUGUACUAAUUAAGAUCCAAGAUCGCCCAAGGAUAACUAUAUAAUUAUUUUUGGUGGGAAGAGAGGAAGUUUCGUGAGAGUUCUCUAGUUGAUCUAAGAAUCAAGAAUUACUUCAAGAUUAUCUAUAUCGGGACAUCAGAGCACUAACCACAGAAAGAGAUGAGAAGGGGGCUAGGAAGGUCUGACUACGGUCCUACAAACACCGAUCCGAACGUGGUGGAAUACGUCGACCGUUAGGACUGUCACUACCCUAGGGCUACCACAACAAUCCGUAGGAUUGGGUGCAAUUCCAGGUAAUCGCAAGACUAAACACCACGUCUAAUCUAUUAAUUACUACUCUAGCAUUAUAAAGACUAGAGCACUUGAUGCAAGCGGGAAUCCAAUAAAUAACUUGAAUGUAAAUAAAAGUAAUUAAAGGACUCAGGAAUUAUGAGUUGAAGAACCUGGAGAACGAUGAAGAACGAACCAGAUGCUGCAAAAGUAUAAUGUUGAGGAAGAUCCGACAGAUCCGGCUCCUCCUCCGCUCUCCUCUUCUCUCUCCCUAUUUUCUAGAUUACAACUAGAACUAACUAGAACUAGAACUAGAAGAACUAGAACUAGAACUAGAUCUAGAUGAACUAGAGGUAGAACUAGAAGAACUAGAGGGAUCCUCUCUACUUGGAUGAAGAAAUUGAAACCCUAACUUUGAUUCUGUAGAAGAGGUAUGAUCUCCAGGGGCCAGGGGGUCUGGUUUUAUAGUCCCUUCAAGUGAAUCUGGGCCGUCGGAUCAAACCGACAUUGAUUGAACGGUUAUUGUUGAUCCUUUAGGUCGGUGGAGCAAUAUCCCGAAAGAGAGUCCUGAUUGGACUCUGGCUGAGGGCGGGCGCCCUGUCCCUGUGUCCUCUCGGCCUCCGCUUCGGUCCCGUGGCUUCUGGAGUCUUCUAGAUGAUAGAAAAUUACGCGGCACCUUAAUAUCUCUAUGUAAACCCGACGUGUGGGCCUUUCUUCCGUAUUUCCUGAUAACCCCCUGCAGAAAUAGACAAACACCAAAACUUGUGGAAUUCUGUCAGAUAAAACCCUAAGUCUAGGUGUUGAUUGUAUUUGGAUCCUUUUCUAUGAUUAGUUGAUGGUUAAAUGUGAGCAUUAAGGACCGUCAACAAGCUCCCCCAAGCUUAACCUUUGCUCGUCCCUGAGCAAAGAUGAACUCAAGAGUUUCUGCAGUGGUUUCAUAACUUAAAGAUACACAUGCAUUUAAACAAGAUCUCAUCUCUGGUUAGAGUAAACUGUUAAGACUUAAAACUUACUCAUUUACCUUUCACCAUGGGACUUGUAACCAUCACUUCUGUCUUGAGUAGUUAAAAGAUAGAACAGUCUAGUCAAGCACCAUGUCUCUUGUUCUUCGAUUAACUAUAGCUCUGGAGUUUUUGCAGAUUUUCAACUAAAACUCAGAGAUUCCUUGUAUGACUCUCUCUAGUCUCUCUUUUGUGGUAUUUCUGGAUCCUUACCAAGGCAGUAAUGGUAUAUGCCUUCUCUCAAAGUAUGUAGUAUUUUUGGUAUGGGGCAUAGUGGCAUUGCCUUCUCUCUCACCCUACUCUAAUAAGGUUUUGAUAUCUGGAGCUCAUAGGUGGGAGACAGCUAAUACAUACUUACAAGACAUUUAUUGCAUAGUCAAACCAUGGAUCCAGAAGAACAAGUCAAUAAGUCAAAUCAAGAUGUGCAUGUGUGGCGAAUGAAUGGUGUAUGGUGAUAACAAUGGUGAAAGUCUAAUUCUACUUAUGCUCUUUUAAGGGGAUACAUACCUUUCUUGCACUUUUGAAACUUUUUGAGGAGAAUGAGAUGCUCUAUGUUUUCUUUUUCUUUUCUCUCAGGUGGGUAUCUUGUACCCCUAAUUCUACUAUCGGACACUUGUCCAUUUUUACCUCUCGUCUCACUUUUUGUUUUCUUCGAGGUUCCGGGCACUUGCCCCUUUUUAUUUCCUCGUAUAUAUUUUUUUUUCUUUUUUUUAGAGCACUCAUCUCAUGAGAUAAUAUAGCAAGUGGUAGUAACAAGAUAACUUGAGCAUUUAUUUCACAGGGGAAAAACAGGAAUAUUUUUGGCUAUUCUCUCCCGGAUUAGGAGUAGAAUAUUUUUGGGUGGUUCUGGAGAUGGAAAUGGAUGGAUAUAUGUGGAUGGUACUUCCGGAGUAGAAGUAACAUAUAUGAGUGAACGUGCAAGUGAAAUCUUGAUUUAACCACAUGACAAGCUCCUAAGGGUCUACACAGCUUGACCACACUCAAUGCUCAUAGUAAAUGUGUGGCCCAAAGUCUAGCAAGCAUGUAUAUAUGGCUGUGGUAGGAAUUUAAACUCUCAUCAUACAGGAACUCAUCAUGCAACAUUUUAAAGAUUUUCAAAGAUAAAAUUCUCCAGAAUUCUAGCAUCUCUAGGAACAGAUAAACAGCAGCUCAACCUUCCCAUAUCGUAUCCAUUAACGACUUAGACUUUAGAUCAAGUACUCUCCCCACAAGUUCAGGUUUAGAGCAAAUCUUAAUUCAUAACAGUCAAGCCUAAACUUGAGAGAGAUUUUAAUUUUGAGAACUAGUCAUGGCAGAACAAUUAUUCAUCAUUUCCAUGUGAGAGCUAUCAUGAGGGUUCAUAGCAAACUUUAUUUAUUUAUUCAAUUAGCAAACUAAAAAAAGAUAUAUAUAAGCACGAAAUCUUUAUUUGAGUUUUUAUGAUUAUGCAUCUUUUUAUUAUUUGAGUAAAAUAUAAACAUGAGUUGAACACUUAGCUGGAUAAAUGGGGGUGCUCUCCCCCAAGCUGGAUUUCGACGUAAUUUCUUCUGAUGUAGCUAGCAGGUGGCGGAGGUGUAUUUGAAUGUCGGCAGCACCCUGACAGCGAUUAGGAUAUCCUCCGUCUCCUAGUCUUAUUUGAUCCUUGAAUUCUGUGGAGCUCAAAUAGACAACAAAGCUUUGUGGAACUGGUUAAGUGUUAGCAUAAAUAUCUAGCCUCUAUCAUGUUGAGCCUCCUCAAUAAAUGUUACUCAUUAGUAGGAUCAUAAUUUUAUUUUUAUAAUUUUAUUUUUAUAGGACAGGAAUAUAUUUAUUUUAUUUUUAUGCCACCACAGUGAAUGUACUUAUGGGUUUUAUGCCAUGAGCAUACUCACAUGGGGCUUACUAUUUUUAACAUUUUUAUUUUCUUUUUAAGAUGAUAUGAUCCUGAUUAACUAAAAUAUUUGAAAGGAAAAAGAUAACUACCAAGUUUACCUCUUGGCAAGGCGUUCGGUGUUUUUACGUCCUCGGAACGGGACUCUCUGUUUUCUCAGUUGUCCUGGGAUUCGCUGGAUGAAGUAGUCGGUGGUUCCGGUGGCGCCUGCUCUUUGUGUAUAACUAUCUUCUCUCGCCACACCUGACUCGGUGCUAUGGUCUCUUCAGGACAGUUCUGUUCAAGUUAUAUGUCUUCAGACUUUACUACUUCUCCUUCGUAGUCUGCCCAUCCGUCCUUGACGAUCUGCCUCCUCUGGUUGCGGUUGCAUUGUCUUCUUCUUGUCUUGACCUGCUUAGAGUCUUCAACUAUAUAGUUAGGGUUAGUAAAAUAGCGGCGUACCUUCUCAGAGGGGAAAUGCAUGUGGACUUCUCUAGUUCCAAUGUAGAUGAUUGCUUUAACGGUGCUGAGGAACGGUCUUCCAAGGAUGAUGGGUGGAUUGUACUCGUCUUCUCCCAUGUCAAUAACCUUCAAUCUUUUAGAAUGUCUGAUCUGCCAUCUGGAGCUGAAUGUAUGUUGGUUGUAGGGACAUGGUUCCAUGCAGGAGCUGAUAAGUGACUGCGGCCAUUAUGUUGACGUUAGAUCCGGUGUCAUAGAGUGUCUUCUGAAAAGAAUAUCCGUUGAUUGUGCACUCGAUGCUUGGAACACCAGGGUCGUCCUUCUUGAUAAAGAAAGGUGGCUUGAGUUGACGAUCUUGACCUCCUUGAGCUGCAGUGACCAACUUAGCUGACUCGGUACACAUUUGCUUGUUCCUAUUCCUCCUGUUGGUCCUCUUCCUUGGUUCAUGUCAGGAUUACUCUGAGAUUUGUAUAGUCUUGUUCUUGAAGGAAAACAUCUCCUUCCUUCCCUUGAUGUAGAAACUGAUCUUGGUAGCACUAGCGUAGAUGAUAGCUCCCGAGGUGUUCAGGAAUGGCCUCCCUAGAAUGAUGGGUGCCCUCUCAUCACCACCAGUCUCUAUCACCACGAAGUCUGCUGGAGCGUAUAAGGUACCAACUCGGAUGUAGAGGUUCUUCAAUAUUCUCUUUUGGAAACUUAGCGUCCGAUCUGCAAGCUGCAAACACAUGGUUGUUUCCAAUACAGGAUAUGUAAAGAUUUUUUCAUCGAGUACCCUUGGCAUAAUAUUGACGCUGGAGCCAAAGUUGCAGAGUGCUUAUAGGAAGUCCACCAUGCUGAUGGAGAUCGGGAUGACGGGAUGUCCUGGAUUGUAUCUCUUGACCCGUAGAAGGUCAGUAAUUACUUCCACCACGUGGUUACUCCAGUAGUUAUGUCCUCAAGCAUCUCAGGGCAGUGAUUGCCUGAGUGUCCAGUAUCUCCAGUGUGUUUGUGCUCGUAGAUCUAGGUUCUUCACUUGGUGGAGUCUGGCAGUUAUAAAGGUGCUUCAUAUUUCGCUCAAAAUGUACCUGCUCAUAGAGACAAGGCAGAGAUCAAGUGCAUGGGCCCUGUUGGUGGAAAACACCAACAGAACCAAAAGUGUAUUUGUUCUUCUCUAACCUUAAGCAUAGUGAGCAAGACAAAGUUGAUGGAUAAUAAGAUCAUGAGUAUAGCAUUUAAAGCAUUUGUCAGAUCAGAUCGCUCAACCUAAUGGAAAGAUAAUCAAUCUAUAUUUAUGUUUAUAUAUAUCUUAAAAAGAUUGAAUGUGCAACAUUUUAGUUCAUAUGAUUAGGAGUGUGGGAUCACAAAGGUGGACGGACUAAACAUAUUGAAUCGAUUGGGUUGGUUAAUCUAGAAUUGUAAAUCAUACAUGUUUGUCUCUUUUAUUCAUGUGAAUGCUAGAACCAAGGAGAAGCUUAUAGAAGUGAUAGUCAAGUACCUUAAGAUGUUACCUUACUUGAAGAGUGAUGGUACAGUAUCACCUUCUAGAAGCUUUCCUUUCCUAGCGGUUGUGCAUCGUGUUUGUAGCACCCUCCAUGGAUCAUCUCUUGUGAGCUAUGCCUUCCUUGUGUAAAUUGUUAAACUUCACGUGCCUCUCUCUUUGUCUCCAAUGUGAGUUUAUCUCAGGACUUCCCAGGUCGAUAUUGAAAGUUUUCCUGCAGGGGUUAGUCCAACAAAAUAUCCAGUAUCUACUAUAGCAUACUAUCGGCUCAAAGAUCAACCUAGACACCAUGUCUAAUUUGAUUUAGGAGGGCAUUUUAACCUAAGCAUCAUGCUUAAUUUAAACUCCCUUGGAAGUAAGAUCAUCAUUCCUAAACUAAGCACCAUGCUUAAUUAAGAGAUAAAAGAAACUACUCCAAACCUAGACAUAUACUAAAGCAAAUAAAGGUAGCAUG
rnacentral:lncRNA from 1 species